CCUACGGGGGGCAGCAGUGGGGGAUAUUGCACAAUGGGGGAAACCCUGAUGCAGCGACGCCGCGUGAGUGAAGAAGUAUUUCGGUAUGUAAAGCUCUAUCAGCAGGGAAGAAAAUGACAGUACCUGACCAAGAAGCCCCGGCUAACUACGUGCCAGCAGCCGCGGUAAUACGUAGGGGGCAAGCGUUAUCCGGAUUUAUUGGGUGUAAAGGGAGCGUAGACGGUUAUGUAAGGCUGGAGUGAAAGCCCGGGGGCCAACCCCGGGACUGCUUUGGAAACUGUGUAACUGGAGUACAGGAGGGGCAGGCGGAAUGCCUGGUGUAGCGGUGAAAUGCGUAGAUAUCAGGAAGAACACCGACGGCGAAGGCAGCCUGCUGGACUGAAACUGACGUUGAGGCUCGAAAGCGUGGGGAGCGAACAGGAUUAGAUACCCUAGUAGUC
rnacentral:rRNA from 1 species